UACGUAGGGUGCAAGCGUUAAUCGGAAUUACUGGGCGUAAAGCGUGCGCAGGCGGUUGUGCAAGACCGAUGUGAAAUCCCCGGGCUUAACCUGGGAAUUGCAUUUGUGACUGCACGGCUAGAGUGUGUCAGAGGGGGGUAGAAUUCCACGUGUAGCAGUGAAAUGCGUAGAGAUGUGGAGGAAUACCGAUGGCGAAGGCAGCCCCCCUGGGAUAACACUGACGCUCAUGCACGAAAGCGUGGGGAGCAAACAGG
rnacentral:rRNA from 1 species